UACGGAGGGUGCGAGCGUUAAUCGGAAUGACUGGGCGUAAAGGGCAUGUAGGUGGGUCAUUAAGUUAGGUGUGAAAUCCCCGGGCUCAACCUGGGAACAGCACUUAAAACUGGUGGUCUAGAGUAUUGUAGAGGAAGGUAGAAUUCCAUGUGUAGCGGUGAAAUGCGUAGAGAUGUGGAGGAAUACCGGUGGCGAAGGCGGCCUUCUGGACAAAUACUGACGCUGAGAUGCGAAAGCGUGGGGAGCAAACAGG
rnacentral:rRNA from 1 species